rnacentral:rRNA from 1 species
AUUGAACGCUGGCGGCAGGCCUAACACAUGCAAGUCGAACGGUAACAGGAAGCAGCUUGCUGCUUUGCUGACGAGUGGCGGACGGGUGAGUAAUGUCUGGGAAACUGCCCGAUGGAGGGGGAUAACUACUGGAAACGGUAGCUAAUACCGCAUAACGUCGCAAGACCAAAGAGGGGGACCUUAGGGCCUCUUGCCAUCGGAUGUGCCCAGAUGGGAUUAGCUAGUAGGUGGGGUAACGGCUCACCUAGGCGACGAUCCCUAGCUGGUCUGAGAGGAUGACCAGCCACACUGGAACUGAGACACGGUCCAGACUCCUACGGGAGACAGCAGUGGGGAAUAUUGCACAAAGGGCGCAAGCCUGAUGCAGCCAUGCCGCGUGUAUGAAGAAGGCCUUCGGGUUGUAAAGUACUUUCAGCGGGGAGGAAGGGAGUAAAGUUAAUACCUUUGCUCAUUGACGUUACCCGCAGAAGAAGCACCGGCUAACUCCGUG